UGUAGGAGUGAGCCUGCUCGCGAUGGCGGUGUGUCAGAUAUCAGUGAUGGCGACUGAUACACCGCUAUCGCGAGCAGGCUCACUCCUACA
rnacentral:misc_RNA from 1 species